rnacentral:rRNA from 1 species
GACGAACGCUGUCGGCGUGCUUAACACAUUCAAGUUGAACGGAAAGUCCCUGCUUUUUUGGGUUGUUCUAGUUGCGAACGUGUGUGUCACUCGUUAGUCACCUGCCCUUGACUUUGGGAUAACUUCAGGACACUGGGCCUCAUCCCCGAUAGGAGCUCCUGCUGCAUGGUGGGCGUUGGACAGUUUCGGCGGUUGGGGAUGGACUCGCGGCUUAUCAGAUUGUUGGUGGGGUAGUGGCUUACCAAGGUUUUGACGGGUAGCCGGCCUGAGAGGGUGACUGACCACAUUAGGACGGAGAUACGGACCAGACUCAUAAGGGAGGAAGGAGUCGGGAAUAUUGCACAAGGGGAGGAAGCCUGAUGCAGCAAUGCAGCGUGCGGGAUGAAGGCCUUCGGAUUGUAAACCGCGUACGGCUGUGACGAAGAGUGAGUGACGGUAAAGGGUAAAGAAGCAACGGCUAAAUACGUG